rnacentral:rRNA from 1 species
CCGUAACUAUAACGGUCCUAAGGUAGCGAAAUUCCUUGUCGGGUAAGUUCCGACCCGCACGAAUGGCGUAACGAUGGCCACACUGUCUCCUCUUGGGACUCAGCGAAGUUGAAAUGUUUGUGAAGAUGCAAUCUACCCGCGGCUAGACGGAAAGACCCCAUGAACCUUUACUGUAGCUUUACAUUGGACUUUGACAAGAUCUGUGUAGGAUAGGUGGGAGGCAUUGAAGCGUGGUCGCUAGAUCAUGUGGAGCCAACCUUGAAAUACCACCCUGAUGUUGUUGAGGUUCUAACCUAGACCCCGAAACGGGGUUGGGGACCGUGUAUGGUGGGCAGUUUGACUGGGGCGGUCUCCUCCCAAAGAGUAACGGAGGAGUGCGAAGGUAACCUAGGUACGGUCGGAAAUCGUACUGAUAGUGCAAUGGCAUAAGGUUGCUUGACUGCGAGACGGACAGGUCGAGCAGGUGCGAAAGCAGGUCAUAGUGAUCCGGUGGUUCUGUAUGGAAGGGCCAUCGCUCAACGGAUAAAAGGUACUCUGGGGAUAACAGGCUGAUACCGCCCAAGAGUUCAUAUCGACGGCGGUGUUUGGCACCUCGAUGUCGGCUCAUCACAUCCUGGGGCUGUAGCCGGUCCCAAGGGUAUGGCUGUUCGCCAUUUAAAGUGGUACGUGAGCUGGGUUUAAAACGUCGUGAGACAGUUUGGUCCCUAUCUGCCGUGGGCGUUGGAAGUUUGAGGGGGGCUGCUCCUAGUACGAGAGGACCGGAGUGGACAGAUCUCUGGUGGACCGGUUGUCAUGCCAAUGGCAUAGCCGGGUAGCUAAAUCUGGAAGAGAUAAGCGCUGAAAGCAUCUAAGCGCGAAACUCGCCUCGAGAUGAUACUUCCCUGUGCUUUAAGCACACUAAAGAGUCGUUCAAGACCAGGACGUUGAUAGGUCAGGUGUGGAAGCGUAGUAAUACGUUAAGCUAACUGAUACUAAUUGCUCGUGAGGCUUGAUCCU